UUGACCCAUGAACCCGAUCCGACUCGGAAAGAGACAGUUCACAGAUUGGACGGUUAAUUUCUUCAUCGCCGGCUAUCAUUCCCUCGACAAUAUAUAUUUACAUGCUAUAAUCCCAUCCAAUUCUUCGAUACAAAUCGAAUUUAGCGAUAUUUGAGCUCAGAUUGAGUAGGGAAGAAAAGUAAUUAUGAGGAGUAGCUCUUGGCAGCAGAAAGAGCUCGCAUUUCUCAUCUUGUACGCCGUCGUUUUCUACGCAAUCGUCAUUCGCCGCUCUCUCCAACUCUCCCGUGAUCAUUACUCCAAGCUCUACGGUUUGCGCCCUGGAUGGAUUUCUCAUCGAUUUAACGAUGUUUCUGAUGCCCAAUGGAGAAAUUUUCGGGGGAACUUACCUAUUCUCUCCAUUGUGUUUGGGAUUUUCACAGUGGUCGCCUGCAUGUUCAGAGCAUUAUAUUGUUUGAAGGCGAAGGGGAUGUCAAUUGUUUGGCUUCUGAUUUCUAUGGCUUAUUUAUCAUAUCUACACGGAGCAUGUGUCAUAUUUAUCCUCGCUAUUGCUUCAGCUAAUUUUCUUCUAGUAAAGAUAUGUGGAAGGACAAAAUACUUCUCAUUUGCACUUUGGGUUUUCAACCUAUCUUUUCUUCUAUGUAAUCGCAUUUAUGAGGGAUAUCUAUUCUCGAGUUUUGGGCAAAGCUGGGCUUAUUUGGAUAACUUUCGGGGAACCUUCAGAUGGCAUAUUUGCUUUAAUUUUGUUGCUUUGCGAAUGAUAAGCUUUGGAUAUGAUUACCAUUGGGCGGAUCAAUACAAUCGUUUUGAUCAAAAGAAGCACAUUCAACGCUGUGUGAAUUGUUCAUCAGGCAAGACAUGCUACCUCCUAUUACAGGAGAGAGGUGUCCCAAAUGACAGGUGUUCAUUUCCAAUAUACUUGUGUUAUUUGGUGUAUGCACCCCUUUACAUUGCGGGACCAAUUAUUAGCUUCAACGCGUUUGCUUCGCAGUUGGAAACUCCCCAAAAAAAUUACUCAUCUCGAGGAGUGGCUUGGUAUGGUUUGCGUUGGUUAUUUAGUUUUUUCCUAAUGGAACUGAUGUCACAUUUUUUCUACUAUAAUGCAUUUUCCAUCAGUGGUGUGUGGAAACAGCUGUCUCCCAUGGACAUCUUUAUUAUUGGAUAUGGGGUUCUAAACUUCAUGUGGCUAAAGUUUUUCCUCAUCUGGCGCUACUUCCGGUUCUGGUCGCUAAUCAAUGGCAUUGAGGCUCCUGAGAAUAUGCCAAGGUGUGUAAACAAUUGCUACAACUUGGAAAGUUUUUGGAAGAAUUGGCAUGCUUCGUUCAACAAAUGGCUUGUUAGGUAUGUUUAUAUCCCUCUUGGAGGAGCUCAAAAGAAGCUGCUAAACAUAUGGGUCAUCUUCACAUUUGUUGCCAUAUGGCAUGAUUUAGAGUGGAAGCUUCUCUCGUGGGCAUGGUUGACAUGUUUAUUCUUCAUACCAGAAAUGCUUGUCAAAUCAACAGCAAAUGCCUUUCAGGUGAAGGGUGCUUUUGGGAGAUUUGUUUUUCGUGAGCUUAGAGCUGUCUCUGGUGCUGUUACUAUAACUUGCCUCAUGUAUUUCAGUGAAAUGUCUGGCUGUGCUGGUGCUUUUAGGAGUGACAACUGGAUGGAUUUAAUAAAUUUCAGUGGCAAAUCUUGUUGGUUUUGUGAUUGGGCCAUCAGGCAUUAAUUGGUUGGUUUCUGAAUUCCUCCAAAAAGAAGCAUUGCCUAUACUUGGUGGCAUGUUUGUUUCUUUCUACAUUGGAACCAAGCUUAUGUUUCACAUUUCUGAUGCUAAGCAACGGAGGGAUCAGACAAGAUGACGUGAAGAGUACACUACCAAGGGGAAAGGGAUUAUUGUCAGGAAAGCUUGGAAGCAUGAUCCAUCACUUGUUAAUGUCUUUGUCUGAUUUUAAGUGACAUUUGACUCAAAUAUUGUUGACAUAGUUUAUAUAGACGCAAGAUCUUGUCAUUGUUCUGCACUGCUAGAUACUGUUUUGUGAUACUUUGCUGAUAACUAGAGUAAAAUGAGUGUGUAAUAUUUGACCUUGUAUCCAUUUCAGCAAUAUCAAUGGCUUACACUUUUUUACCUGUUGAAGGGAAAGAAAAACUACAUCCUCCGAUGAA